rnacentral:lncRNA from 1 species
CAGUCAUUAAAUGAACACGGCUCAAGAUGAUCUCCGGAUCACUGAACCAUCAAAGCGUAUGGCUCUCCCUGACCGCCGGUCCACUCGGCAAUCAAUGCACCUGCCAUCUACGAAUCCCAGGCCCACCACGGCCGGCGGUUCAACCACCCCAACGGGUCCGAUCAACCAUGACAACUCCCUGACUCCGGUAUGAUUCGGCCUCAUUCUCCACUACGCCAUUAAUGGGCCAAAUCGUGCCCAAUUAUCACAAAAGAAGACAAAUUCCCCUGUCACCUCCCAGGUAACAUAAUGCCCUUCUAUAAAAGGGAACCUGGGAGGAAAGAGGAGGGGGACCGGGGGAAACGGAAGAAAACAGCACAGACACAAUUGAACACAAUAUUCUCUUUAUUUUCUCCGCAUAUCUCUUCCUUGCUCUCUACACAUAUUGGCCCCCUCUAACUUAAGCAUCGGAGGGCCGGCGCCGGAGAGCCCGGCCACCGGCUUUUUUGCAGGACUUACACCCCUCCAGGAGGACGUCACCGGCCGGCGCACCGCCGUCCGCCCUUCCGGCAGCGGAGCUCCUCCUUCCCCUGGCUUCGCGGCAGCCCCCGGGUCCAAUUUCCAGCAACA